CGGCGCUGCCGUCUUUGAAAUUAGCAGAUGCUAUACGCGCACUACGGUGAUCGACACAGUGCAGCGACACGCUGUUUUCAUUCGACACGGUUGUUUUGUGUGACGAAACAGCGGUAGUGUCGUGCCUGCCUGUGAGCAUUGCGGCGAGCAGAAGAGGUCGAGUAGGCGGGAGGAGAGGCGAACCCCCUUAUUCCCUGUAGGGGUAACGUAUCUGUUCGUUUUCUUCUCUUUUGCCGUUUGCCCAGCUGCGCGUCCGUUUGCGAUCCACGUGAGUAUAUUGCGAGACACCAUGCAUAUUUUUCGGGUUUCGGUCCCGCUCAUGUGCCUUUUCUACCACUUUAUCGUAGUGAUCAUCUCCUUUGCCAACUACAUCAUCUUUGUGAAACUGCAGGGCACGCCUCGAGCGCUGUGUGAUGCCUAUCUCGCCUUAUGCGUGGUCGAGACGGUAGCCUAUGGCGCCUGUGCUGGGCCGCUGUUUGUAUACUCGUACAAGUACGGCAAGACUUCCACUGCCCGCCUCGGUCGCCUUCUCGGCGGCAUCGUCGUUAUGUUUCUGCUGUCUUCACUCCCGAUGGUGAUUAUUGAGACGGCUCUGUUCUUGUCGUUUGAUUUAGAGCUUCGCCAUUCCUUGGAUGGAACGGUUUUCUUCUUGCAUGCCACCGCAGCAGUCUUUGGUGGCUUCACCACAUGGUUUGCCUACAUGCGCGUUGUGGCACGCUUCCUCCAACGCUGGCGAGGACCGGAGCGGCAGAUCGCCGACGACUCGGAGAUCCCACCGACCAAAGAUGUUCAGCUGCAUCUAGUCAGGCGUUCUCAGUGGCAACCGGAAACUAUUUAGCUGUACAGAAGAAGUACGUGGAGUAGAGGUGUGGGGGGGGGUGAGCAGCGGCGCUGGUUUCCUUGUCGUGCACGGUGUUGCGACGGAAAACUCAUGGCACGAGAUUUCCCACUGGGUGGUGUAAAGGGGACGGGGCGCUGCACAUCGCAGAUGCUGCAAAGGGACGGAGUGUCGGUGCACCCCGUAUCACAUCCAAGCGCAGUGCGUCCCUCAGGUGUACGCGCAUGGAGAUAGAUCUCGCUUUCUUUUUGGGUUUACGCACGCUUCGAUUUACAUGCACACGCAGACACAAACACAAAAAAAAAACGUGGGCCACGCAAUGUCAAGGUUGCCCAUACAACGUGAUUUCUUGGCCGUUUCUUUUUCUAUUGCUUGUGCUGUGUAGAUGGUUAGAGCCCGAGAGGCAACGCUCC
rnacentral:misc_RNA from 1 species